rnacentral:misc_RNA from 1 species
UCGCGGCUUAUCACCGGCAGUCCCCUCAGAGUGCCCAACUAAAUGAUGGCAACUAAGGGCGAGGGUUGCGCUCGUUGCGGGACUUAACCCAACAUCUCACGACACGAGCUGACGACAGCCAUGCAGCACCUGUGUCCAGGUUCCCUUUCGGGCACCGCUGCAUUUCUGCAGCGUUCCUGGCAUGUCAAGGGUAGGUAAGGUUUUUCGCGUUGCAUCGAAUUAAACCACAUCAUCCACCGCUUGUGCGGGCCCCCGUCAAUUCUUUUAAGUUUUAGCCUUGCGACCAUACUCCCCAGGCGAAUCACUUAACGCGUUAGCUACGACACUGAUCCAGCUAAGCCGAACCAACAUCUAGUGAUUAUCGUUUACGGCGUGGACUUC